UACAGAGGGUGCGAGCGUUAAUCGGAAUUACUGGGCGUAAAGCGUGCGCAGGCGGUUUUGUAAGCCAGAUGUGAAAUCCCCGGGCUUAACCUGGGAAUGGCAUUUGGGACUGCAAGGCUCGAGUGCGGCAGAGGAGACUGGAAUUCCUGGUGUAGCAGUGAAAUGCGUAGAUAUCAGGAGGAACACCGAUGGCGAAGGCAGGUCUCUGGGCUGACACUGACGCUCAUGCACGAAAGCGUGGGAGCGAA
rnacentral:rRNA from 1 species